rnacentral:tRNA from 1 species
GGGGAUUUAGCUCAGUGGUAGAGCUCUUGCCUUAGCAAGCGCAAGGCCCUGGGUUCGGUUCUCAGCUCCA